GACGAACGCUGGCGGCGUGCUUAACACAUGCAAGUCGAACGGAAAGGCCCUGCUUUUGUGGGGUGCUCGAGUGGCGAACGGGUGAGUAACACGUGAGUAACCUGCCCUUGACUUUGGGAUAACUUCAGGAAACUGGGGCUAAUACCGGAUAGGAGCUCCUGCUGCAUGGUGGGGGUUGGAAAGUUUCGGCGGUUGGGGAUGGACUCGCGGCUUAUCAGCUUGUUGGUGGGGUAGUGGCUUACUAAGGCUUUGACGGGUAGCCGGCCUGAGAGGGUGACCGGCCACAUUGGGACUGAGAUAGGGCCCAGACUCCUACGGGAGGCAGCAGUGGGGAAUAUUGCACAAUGGGCGGAAGCCUGAUGCAGCAACGCCGCGUGCGGGAUGACGGCCUUCGGGUUGUAAACCGCUUUCGCCUGUGACGAAGCGUGAGUGACGGUAAUGGGUAAAGAAGCACCGGCUAACUACGUG
rnacentral:rRNA from 1 species